AUUGAACGCUGGCGGCAGGCCUAACACAUGCAAGUCGAGCGGAUGAAGGGAGCUUGCUCCUGGAUUCAGCGGCGGACGGGUGAGUAAUGCCUAGGAAUCUGCCUGGUAGUGGGGGAUAACGUCCGGAAACGGGCGCUAAUACCGCAUACGUCCUGAGGGAGAUAGUUGGGGAUCUUCGGACCUCACGCUGUCAGAUGAGCCUAGGUCGGAUUGGAUAGUUGGUGGGGUAAAGGCCUACCAAGGCGACGAUCCGUAACUGGUCUGAGAGGAUGAUCAGUCACACUGGAACUGAGACACGGUCCAGACUCCUAAGGGAGGCAGCAGUGGGGAAUAUUGGACAGUGGGCGAAAGCCUGAUCCAGCCAGGGCGCGUGUGUGAAGAAGGUCUUCGGAUUGUAAAGCACUUUAAGUUGGGAGGAAGGGCAGUAAGUUAAUACCUUGCUGUUUUGACGUUACCAACAGAAUAAGCACCGGCUAACUUCGUG
rnacentral:rRNA from 1 species